UACGGAGGGUGCAAGCGUUAUCCGGAUUCACUGGGUUUAAAGGGUGCGUAGGUGGGCAGUUAAGUCAGUGGUGAAAUCUCCGGGCUCAACCCGGAAACUGCCAUUGAUACUAUCUGUCUUGAAUAUCGUGGAGGUAAGCGGAAUAUGUCAUGUAGCGGUGAAAUGCUUAGAUAUGACAUAGAACACCAAUUGCGAAGGCAGCUUACUACCCGAAUAUUGACACUGAGGCGCGAAAGCUAGGGUAGCAAACGGG
rnacentral:rRNA from 1 species